AUUGAACGCUGGCGGCAGGCCUAACACAUGCAAGUCGAGCGGAUGAAGGGAGCUUGCUCCUGGAUUCAGCGGCGGACGGGUGAGUAAUGCCUAGGAAUCUGCCUGGUAGUGGGGGAUAACGUCCGGAAACGGGCGCUAAUACCGCAUACGUCCUGAGGGAGAAAGUGGGGGAUCUUCGGACCUCACGCUAUCAGAUGAGCCUAGGUCGGAUUAGCUAGUUGGUGGGGUAAAGGCCUGCCAAGGCGACGAUCCGUAACUGGUCUGAGAGGAUGAUCGGUCACACUGGAACUGAGACACGGUCCAGACUCCUACGGGAGGCAGCAGUGGGGAAUAUUGGACAAUGGGCGAAAGCCUGAUCCAGCCAUGCCGCGUGUGUGAAGAAGGUCUUCGGAUUGUAAAGCACUUUAAGUUGGGAGGAAGGGCAGUAAGUUAAUACCUUGCUGUUUUGACGUUACCAACAGAAUAAGCACCGGCUAACUUCGUG
rnacentral:rRNA from 1 species